rnacentral:rRNA from 1 species
CCUACGUGUGGCAGCAGUGGGGAAUAUUGCACAAUGGGGGAAACCCUGAUGCAGCGACGCCGCGUGAGUGAAGACGUACUUCGGUAUGGAAAGCUCUGUCAGCAGGGAAGAAAAUGACGGUACCUGACCAAGAAGCCCCGGCUAACUACGUGCCAGCAGCCGCGGUAAUACGGAGGGGGCAAGCGUUAUCCGGAUUGAAUGGGUGUAAAGGGAGCGUAGACGGCAGGGCAAGUCUGGAGUGAAAGGCGGGGGCUCAACCCCCGGACUGCUCGUGAAACUGCCAGGCUGGAGUGCAGGAGAGGUAAGUGGAAUUCCUAGUGUAGCGGUGAAAUGCGUAGAUAUUAGGAGGAACACCAGUGGCGAAGGCGGCUUACUGGACUGUAACUGACGUUGAGGCUCGAAAGCGUGGGGAGCAAACAGGAUUAGAUACCCCUGUAGUC